rnacentral:rRNA from 1 species
GAUGAACGCUGACCGAAUGCUUAACACAUGCAAGUCAUUCGGGAAGCCGCUCUUGCCUUGUCUUGCCAAGGCGGACGGGUGAGUAACGCGUAAGGAACAUCCUCUGCUGACAUUUCGUACAGACUGAAACGACUGAUAAUACCCGGUAAUGUCAUGCUGGCGCAUGCUGGCCUGAUGAGAGGGUACGCUCCAGGAGAGGCUUGCGUCCUGUUAGCUAGUUGGUGGGGUAACGGCCCACCAAGGCGGUGAUAGGUAGCCGGCCUGAGAGGGUGAACGGCCACAAGGGGAAUGAGAUACAGCACUUGCUCCUACGGGAGGCAGCAGUGGAGAAUGUUGGACAAUGGGGGCGACCCUGAUGCAGCAAUUCUGUGUGCACGAAGAAGGUUUUCGGAUUGUAAAGUGGUUUCAUAAGAGAAGGAGAAAGUGACGGUACCUGCAGAAGAAGCAACGGCUAAAUACGUG